rnacentral:rRNA from 1 species
UGCGAAGGGGGCUAGCGUUGUUCGGAAUUACUGGGCGUAAAGCGUGCGCAGGCGGCUGCUCAAGUCAGGGGUGAAAGCCCAGAGCUCAACUCUGGAAUUGCCUUUGAGACUGAGUGGCUUGAGUACGGGAGAGGCGAGUGGAAUUCCCAGUGUAGAGGUGAAAUUCGUAGAUAUUGGGAAGAACACCGGUGGCGAAGGCGGCUCACUGGCCCGUAACUGACGCUCAUGCACGACAGCGUGGGGAGCAAACAGG